ACCAACCCCGUGUCCUCUUCCUUCCGGACGUGCUACUGGAUUAUAUCAGAUGCUGUUAUGUGACUCAGUUCUGCUAUGUGCUCCUCCAUGCCUGACCUGUAAUAACCUCCACUCAGGAGUCUUCCUGUUCUCUCUUCCUCUGGAGUCACCCUGGAAACCACGUGUAAAGGGUUGUAGGGCCAUAAGAUGGAAGGAUCUCAAAUCCCAAAACUACCACCUGGAGGAGAACCAUCUGCCAGCAAAAAUGUAGACUGGAUUCCCAAGACUCCAGCUACACCCACUGAUGUCAGAAGAGAAAAGGACAGUUAAGGACAUGAGAUGCUAAAUUCUACAGUGACCUGGGCUCCAAGAAGUCUGAACAUUUUCAGUCCAGGAUUCAUGGAUUGCAGCCCAGAGUCCCAGCCAAUCAGAGAGAUGACAGAUCUUCAUACUACAGGCAGAGGGUAAGUGAGAACUCGUUUUCUGUUCAUCUAACAACUGAGCAUUUUUUUCUAAGCUUGCCAGUCUUAGAAGGGGGAUCAAGAGAAUGUGUUCACCUCUUACACUGUUGUUGGUGAAAACUAGUACAGCCACUAUGGAGAACAGCGUGGAGAUUCCUUAAAAAACUGGAAAUAGAACUGCCAUAAGACCCAGCAAUCCCACAGCUGGGUAUACACACCAAGGAAACCAGAACUGAAAGAGACACGUGUACCCCAAUGUUCAUCGCAACACUGUUUAUAAUAGCCAGG
ensembl:lncRNA